CUGACUUUGAGCUUUAAGGUAUAAUUGAGUAACAUUAAGACUUAUAAUUCUAGUUUAAAAUGUCUUGAAUAACUUUCAGCAUGAAGUAUUGUGUGGUGAAAACAAUGUUUAUGUACUACAAUGUGUAAAUCAACAAUAAGUUUGUUGCAAAGGAGAUUCAAAGUGGAUGGUUAAAGUGAUAUGGUCUCAUAAUUCAUCAACUGCCUGUUAUCUUGGAAUACUGAAGAACAGUUGUUUUAGGUUAAACUCCCAAGGUGAAAUUUACAUUGAUUGGAAGAUUCUUUGGAUAGAAUAUUCAUGCCAAAAGACAGCAGAAGGGGGACUAACUGAUGUAUGGAUUUUGACACCAGAUUUUACCCUGCACGAGCAGCCCAACUUGAGUAGAUCAGGAGUGGGAAAACCAAGCCCUGUCCUUGACCAAGGAAAGUUGGAUUUGUUGAGAGGACCUGAUCUCAAAUGAGAUCAUGCACAAGACGCACCUCACAAAGGCCAUGACAGUAUAGUUUUCAGACCUGAUCAGCUGGUGACUGCUCUAUGAAGUGCUGUUCAAC